AUUGAACGCUGGCGGCAGGCCUAACACAUGCCAGUCGAGCGGAUGAAGGGAGCUUGCUCCUGGAUUCAGCGGCGGACGGGUGAGUAAUGCCUAGGAAUCUGCCUGGCAGUGGGGGAUAACGUCCGGAAACGGGCGCUAAUACCGCAUACGUCCUGAGGGAGAAAGUGGGGGAUCUUCGGACCUCACGCUAUCAGAUGAGCCUAGGUCGGAUUAGCUAGUUGGUGGGGUAAAGGCCUACCAAGGCGACGAUCCGUAACUGGUCUGAGAGGAUGAUCAGUCACACUGGAACUGAGACACGGUCCAGACUCCUACGGGAGGCAGCAGUGGGGAAUAUUGGACAAUGGGCGAAAGCCUGAUCCAGCCAUGCCGCGUGUGUGAAGAAGGUCUUCGGAUUGUAAAGCACUUUAAGUUGGGAGGAAGGGCAGUAAGUUAAUACCUUGCUGUUUUGACGUUACCAACAGAAUAAGCACCGGCUAACUUCGUG
rnacentral:rRNA from 1 species